rnacentral:rRNA from 1 species
CGGAGGGUGCAAGCGUUAUCCGGAUUUACUGGGUUUAAAGGGUGUGUAGGCGGACUUUUAAGUCAGCGGUGAAAUCUCCGGGCUCAACCCGGAAACUGCCAUUGAUACUAUUAGUCUUGAAUAUUGUUGAGGUAGGCGGAACGGGUCAUGUAGCGGUGAAAUGCAUAGAUAUGACCCGGAACACCGAUUGCGAAGGCAGCCUACUAAGCAAUUAUUGACGCUGAGGCACGAAAGCGUGGGGAUCAAACAGGAUUAGAUACCCUGGUAGUCCACGCCCUAAACGAUGAUUACUCGACGUUGGCGAUACACUGAUCAGUGUCCAAGCGAAAGCAUUAAGUAAUCCACCUGGGAAGUACGUUCGCAAGAAUG